AACGAACGCUGGCGGCAUGCCUAACACAUGCAAGUCGAACGAGACCUUCGGGUCUGGUGGCUCACGGGUGCGUAAGGCGCGGGAACCUGCCCUUAGGUUCGGAAUAACUCCCAGAAAGGGGUCCUAAUACCGGAUAAUGUCUUCCGACCAAGGAUUGAUCGCCUUUGGAUGGGCCCGCGUUGGAUUAGCUAGUUGGUAGGGUAAAUGCCUACCAAGGCGACGAUCCAUAGCUGGUCUGAGAGGAUGAUCAGCCACACUGGGACUGAGACACGGCCCAGACUCCUACGGGAGGCAGCAGUAGGGAAUAUUGGACAAUGGGCGAAAGCCUGAUCCAGCAAUGCCGCGUGAGUGAUGAAGGCCUUAGGGUUGUAAAGCUCUUUUACCCGGGAUGAUAAUGACAGUACCGGGAGAAUAAGCUCCGGCUAACUCCGUG
rnacentral:rRNA from 1 species